GUCUGUGGAAAAUACAGAAAACACAGGGAAGAUGAGAAAAUGACCUCAUUGAACUCUGAGAACUUAAGCAAACAAACAGCUUCGGCCAACAUACCACAUUCUUGCGGCACUUCUGCCCAAACAACAAAUUGACCUAUAAGUUAUAUAAUCACCCACAAGCCCCUGUGCCCCGUGUAAAUGUGGGGAGGGGGAAAGGGGUUUCAUUGAAAGGAGAGGGAGGGGAGGGAAAGCAGUAAACCUGCUCCCGUAGGAAAAAAUGCUUGGGGGUGAGCUGCCCGUACCCCCCUUCCCACCACCUCCCCACCCCAAAUGCUGUACUCACAUGAGGUUCAGGUUUAAUUGCACUCCGAAUACCAGCAGAGUGAUGGCACUGGUUGUUUAUUAUAGUAUGAAUUAUUUCAGUACAGCAUAAAUUUUCCAUUUCAAAGGAUCCCGAAUGCCUGCAGGGAAGGGACUAGGUUUUGUGAGCAGAGGGUGGCCUCUGUAAAAGUUGGUGGGGAUUUCUUCCGAGCGGUGGUUAAAGCUGCAUUCUUUGAACCUGGUUAGGGGGGCUCUGCGGAGCAUGUUUAGGGGCUGUGUUUUCCCCUGCAGAGGCCCCCUGUAGUGAUGGCUCGGAAUGCCUGAGCUACCAUUUUAUGUCAACCGAACAAAUCCUAGUGUAAAAAUGCAGAGGCUAACCAAAGGCCGUGGGCUCGGUUGUUGUUGUUGCUCUACAUAGCUGCAGAAAAGGAGGAUGUAUAUCCCCGUCCCCAACAGCUGAGUGUGCUGAAAGGAGCCUGUGUGACCUUCCCUUACAUAUGUCCAUCCCAUGACGGUGAAGACUAUUGCUGUAUUUUGUAGCUUCAAGCAGAUACAAGAAAGAGUUUUAGGAAAUACCAAUGGCAGGAGCAGUGAUUUAGGCAGGAAGAGAAGGAAGAAGCCUAGCAAACAGCCACAGAAACACUGGAGAAAGGCAAACAAUUUAAAUUGUCGCUCAUG